rnacentral:lncRNA from 1 species
UUUGACCAAUUUGGGUUGAUUCCAUUUCCCCUCCCUCUUCAUCUCAAUCCCAUUCUAUUCUCAUUCUAUUCUGGACCUAUGAUGUCUCUAUAUCCUAAGGCUAGUUGAUUGUAAAAUCAACAUAAGUGUGGAUGAGAUUAGGUCCACCCCUUUUGCAUAUUCUUUUAAGUGUGGUAUAUUUUAGGAGUAUGGUUUAUAAUACCAUACCUCUAACAUGCAUUAACACUAAAAUUUC